GCCAGGGUGGCGGAACUGGUAGACGCAGGAGACUUAAAAUCUUCCGGCUUGACGAAGCCGUCCGGGUUCGAGUCCCGGCCCUGGCA
rnacentral:tRNA from 1 species